rnacentral:tRNA from 1 species
GGAGGGGGCGGACCGGUUCGAGGUCUUCGGGUAUGUCGAACCGGGCGACCGGGUGAGGGUGGAACGCCCUCCCCUUCUCC